CCUACGGGAGGCAGCAGUAGGGAAUCUUCCACAAUGGGCGAAAGCCUGAUGGAGCAACGCCGCGUGGGUGAAGAAGGUCUUCGGAUCGUAAAACCCUGUUGUUAGAGAAGAAAGUGCGUGAGAGUAACUGUUCACGUUUCGACGGUAUCUAACCAGAACGCCACGGCUAACUACGUGCCAGCAGCCGCGGUAAUACGUAGGUGGCAAGCGUUAUCCGGAUUUUUUGGGCGUAAAGGGAACGCCGGCGGUCUUUUAAGUCUGAUGUGAAAGCCUUCGGCUUAACCGGAGUAGUGCAUUGUAAACUGGGAGACUUGAGGGCAGAAGAGGAGAGUGGAACUCCAUGUGUAGCGGUGAAAUGCGUAGAUAUAUGGAAGAACACCAGUGGCGAAAGCGGCUCUCUGGUCUGUAACUGACGCUGAGGUUCGAAAGCGUGGGUAGCAAACAGGAUUAGAUACCCCAGUAGUC
rnacentral:rRNA from 1 species